AGAGAGAGACAUGCGCGCAUAUCAAUAAGCGGAGGAAAAGAAACUAACUAGGAUUCCCUCAGUAACGGCGAGUGAAGCGGGAAGAGCUCAAAUUUGAAAUCUUCAAGGUUCUACCUUGACGAAUUGUAGUUUAAAGAAGUGUUUUCUGUUGGAGUUUUGGUAAAAGUUCUUUGGAAUAGGACAUCAUAGAGGGUGAGAAUCCCGUAUUUGACCAUUAUUUCCAGCUUUGUGAUACACUUUCAAAGAGUCGGAUUGUUUGGGAAUGCAGUCCAAAAUGGGUGGUAAAUUUCAUCUAAAGCUAAAUACUGGCGGAGAGACCGAUAGCGAACAAGUACCGUGAGGGAAAGAUGAAAAGAACUUUGAAAAGAGAGUUAAACAGUACGUGAAAUUGUCAAAAGGGAAGCGUUUGACACCAGUGUUGUUUUCUCGAAAAUCAAUUAAAAAAGGCAGGAUUUUGUGUUGUAUUGACUUUAUCAGCUUUCUGCACUCUUUUCUUGUCUUUUUUAAUGCACUUUUCGUUUAACAAGUCAACAUCAAUUUCUUUUGUUGUAAAAGGGUCAUUGGAAGGUGGCUUUCUUUUCGGAGAAAGUGUUUAUAGCCUUUGGCCUCUGCAAUCGGAGAGAUUGAGGUCUGCAGCGUAGAUCCUUCGGGGUUAGAUACAUUUGUGCUAAGUUAUAGCCUUUCAUAGACAACUUGUUGACUAUGAUCAGUCAUGUAGCUUACUCGCUUAUGCUAUUUUACCUACGCUUAGGAUGUUGAUGUGAUACUGCGAGC
rnacentral:rRNA from 1 species